rnacentral:rRNA from 1 species
CAGCAUAUCAAUAAGCGCAGGAAAAGAAACCAACAGGGAUUGCCUCAGUAACGGCGAGUGAAGCGGCAACAGCUCAAAUUUGAAAUCUGGCCUCUUGGGGUCCGAGUUGUAAUUUGUAGAGGAUGUUUCGGGUACCGCCUCGGUUUAAAUUUCUUGGAACAGAAUGUCAAAGAGGGUGAGAAUCCCGUCUUGGACCGGCGGUAGGGCCUAUGUGAAACUCCUUCGACGAGUCGAGUUGUUUGGGAAUGCAGCUCAAAAUGGGUGGUAAAUUUCAUCUAAAGCUAAAUAUUGGCCAGAGACCGAUAGCGCACAAGUAGAGUGAUCGAAAGAUGAAAAGCACUUUGAAAAGAGAGUUAAACAGUAUGUGAAAUUGUUGAAAGGGAAGCGCUUGCAACCAGACUUGAGCGCGGCGGUUCCCCCUUGCUUCUGCUUGGGUUACUCCGCCGUGUCCAGGCCAACAUCGGUUCUGGGGGUCGGUCAAAGGCUCUGGGAAUGUAUCUACCCACGGGUAGACUUAUAGACCAGGGUGUCAUGCGACCUCCCGGGACCGAGGAACGCGCUUCGGCUCGGAUGUUGGCGUAAUGGUUGUCAGCGACCCGUCUUGAAACACGGACCAAGGAGUCUAACAUCUAUGCGAGUGUUUGGGUGUCAAACCCGGAACGCGGAAUGAAAGUGAACGGAGGUAGGAAGCUUCGGCUGCACUAUCGACCGAUCCUGAAGUUUACGGAUGGAUUUGAGUAAGAGCAUAGCUGUUGGGACCCGAAAGAUGGUGAACUAUGCCUGAAUAGGGUGAAGCCAGAGGAAACUCUGGUGGAGGCUCGCAGCGGUUCUGACGUGCAAAUCGAUCGUCAAAUUUGGGUAUAGGGGCGAAAGACUAAUCGAACCAUCUGGUAGCUGGUUCCUGC